rnacentral:rRNA from 1 species
UACGUAGGUGGCAAGCGAUACUCGGAAUCACUAGGCGUAAAGCGCAGGUAGGUGGUUUGGUAAGUCUUUUGUGAAAGCUCCCGGCUUAACUGGGAGAGGUCAAAGGAAACUACCAGACUAGAGUUUGGUAGGGGAUACUGGAAUUCCUGGUGUAGCGGUGAAAUGCGUAGAUAUCAGGAGGAAUACCUAUGGCGAAAGCAGGUAUCUGGGCCAUAACUGACACUGAGCUGCGAAAGCUAGGGGAGCAAACAGG